rnacentral:rRNA from 1 species
UUAUCAACUUUCGAUGGUAGGAUAGAGGCCUACCAUGGUGGUAACGGGUAACGGGGUGUUAGGGCACGACACCGGAGAGGGAGCCUGAGAAACGGCUACCACAUCCGAGGAUGGCAGCAGGCGCGCAAAUUACCCAAUCCCGACACGGGGAGGUAGUGACAAUAAAUAACAAUACGGGGUUCUUUCGGAUCUCGUAAUUGGAAUGAGUACAAUUUAAAUCUCUUAACGAGGAACAAUUGGAGGGCAAGUCUGGUGCCAGCAGCCGCGGUAAUUCCAGCUCCAAUAGCGUAUAUUAAAGUUGUUGCAGUUAAAAAGCUCGUAGUUGAAUUUCGGGAUCAGAUUGUCGGUCGUGCCUCGGUACGCACUGGCAUUAUUGGUUCCUACCUUCUGAAGAACCGCGAUGUCAUUAAUUUGGUGUCGUGGGGAAUCAGGACUGUUACUUUGAAAAAAUUAGAGUGUUUAAAGCAGGCGCACGCUUGAAUACAUUAGCAUGGAAUAAUGAAAUAGGACGUUUGAUUCUAUUUUGUUGGUUUCUAGGAUCGACGUAAUGAUUAAUAGGGAUAGUUGGGGGCAUUAGUAUUCAAUUGUCAGAGGUGAAAUUCUUGGAUUUAUUGAAGACUAACUACUGCGAAAGCAUUUGCCAAGGAUGUUUUCAUUAAUCAAGAACGAAAGUUAGGGGAUCGAAGACGAUCAGAUACCGUCGUGGUCUUAACCAUAAACUAUGCCGACUAGGGAUCGGAUGAUGUUGAUUUUAUAAUGACUCAUUCGGCGCCUUACGGGAAACCCAAAGUGUUUGGGUUCA